UGGGGAAUAUUGGACAAUGGGCGAAAGCCUGAUCCAGCCAUGCCGCGUGUGUGAAGAAGGUCUUCGGAUUGUAAAGCACUUUAAGUUGGGAGGAAGGGCUAUUACCUAAUACGUGAUGGUUUUGACGUUACCGACAGAAUAAGCACCGGCUAACUCUGUGCCAGCAGCCGCGGUAAUACAGAGGGUGCAAGCGUUAAUCGGAAUUACUGGGCGUAUAGCGCGCGUAGGUGGUUCGUUAAGUUGGAUGUGAAAGCCCCGGGCUUAACCUGGGAACUGCAUUCAAAACUGACGAGCUAGAGUAUGGUAGAGGGUGGUGGAAUUUCCUGUGUAGCGGUGAAAUGCGUAGAUAUAGGAAGGAACACCAGUGGCGAAGGCGACCACCUGGACUGAUACUGACACUGAGGUGCGAAAGCGUGGGGAGCAAACAGG
rnacentral:rRNA from 1 species